rnacentral:rRNA from 1 species
AAAGACUUAGUCCUAACCUUACCGUUAAUUUUUGCUAAGUAUAUACAUGCAAGUAUCCGCGCCCCAGUGUAAAUGCCCCUGUCACCUUUAUCAAGAUGAAGGGGGCUGGUAUCAGGCACACGUUCAACCGUAGCCCAAGACGCCUUGCUCAGCCACACCCCCACGGGUACUCAGCAGUAAUUAACAUUAAGCAAUAAGUGCAAACUUGACUUAGCUAUAGCAGUUCCUACAUAGGGCCGGUAAAUCUUGUGCCAGCCACCGCGGUCACACAAGAGGCUCAAAUUAACCGUCCGCGGCGUAAAGAGUGGUACAAUGUUAACGCACAAACUAAGACCAAAAUACAACUAAGCUGUCAUAAGCCCAAGAUGUACCUAAGCCUCCCAUCAAAAUGGCCUUAGCACCUUCGUUCUAUUUAAACCCACUAAAGCUAGGGCCCAAACUGGGAUUAGAUACCCCACUAUGCCUAGCCCUAAAUCCAGGUGUUUACCCUACCCUAACACCCGCCAGAGAACUACGAGCACAAACGCUUAAAACUCUAAGGACUUGG